rnacentral:lncRNA from 1 species
AUGAUGAAACUGAGGUUUGGCCUGGCCAUCAUAACCAUGGAUAGAGGACCUGGGUUAUGUCAGGACCCUCUGUUGCUGCAACCAACAGUCAAGUGUCUUAUUGGAUUAUUGAGGCUUGAAGGCAUAACUUUUGACAAGCAUUACACUGACCUUGGGAGGGAAUUCUUUGUGCCAACAAAAUCACAGAGCUGUCCUUUUUCUUGUAAUGAAGCUGAGAUAACAGUCAGGGAGUACAUUGGAAAGGCAGAACAUUGUACUGAAGAUCUGUGGCACUUGGAAAAUGUCUACCUAAGAUUCUCUCAGAGGGAAAAUUAAUUGAAAUACAAAAUGGAAAAGCUAAAGAAAACAAGUGAACUACUGUGGGUCCCUUAGGUUCUUCCAUUUUGGCUGAAGCUGUUUCCGCUGAUGAAUAAGAGCUGCCCGUUUGCUCCAUGCUAUGGCUGCUGCUAACUGCUGUGGAUGUCUUUGCUUAAGGAAUGUCUCAAGAAAAACAAACUGUGCUUGUAAGUUGUGAAUUCCAGAAAACAGAUGAGGCGAAUUCUCUCUCCUCUUCCUUCUCUUCCUUUUCCUUUUCCAAAUAGCAGGGUCAAAUUGGAACCAAAGCUUAUUGUACAAACAGAAGCAAAUGAAAGAAAUAUUGGAUUUGUAUGAGCUUCUUAUGGAAUUACUAGUUCUAAAACCAAAUACAUACGCAGAGUGAAUGCUACUGAAUCAGAUAGAAAAUACAACUUGGAGCAGAAGAGAUAGCAACACACAUUUAGAAUACAAUGGUAAUGAGAGACAUGUGGAGGAUACAGUGGUACCAAAUGGGUAACGUAACUCCUGGAAAUUUACAACUAGGAAGACCUUUCUUGAGUGUAAAACCAGCACUACUUUUUGGUGUAAAAGAAUAUUCUCCUUAAACUUGUCUUGUCCAUUAAGGGACUAGCUUUUCUUUUGUAUACACCUGUCCUCACUGUGCCACUCAACUAAAUGAGCUACACAUGUUCUACAUGUGUGGGAUUGUCUCCUACUAGUCCACUCUCUCUGAUGAGAUGGUUUAUGUGAAGUAGCCAGAAGAGAGAAAGAAAUUCCUUCCCACAAGUGUUUCACUCUUAGGAAUUAUGGAAUCAUAAGCUUUCAAACGAGUUCUCUAAUACAGGACUGCUCCAACUCUGGAAUCCAGGUUACUGUUGACAGUCUUCUAGUUAUUUGUAUUCCCCAGAGGCUUGGUUAAUAAGUUUGGUCAGUCAAUCUGUUAUUCCUUUCUUUACCUAAUCAAAGAAGUUCCCGCCUCAUAAAGACAUCACAGAGUAUAGAACAUCUUAUUUACACUUUUUUAAAUGAUAUUUUACAAAUUUCAUGUAAUAAUUUUUCACAUAAGUUUUCUCAAGUCAUAGGCUUCAAACUGUCUCCCUUUGUCCCGUCCCUCCCCUUUCCUGGAGAUGACAAGCAAUUGGAUGUGGAUUUUACAUGUAAUAUCAUGCAAAAUAUAUUUCUAUAUUAUUCAUUUUUGUAAGGUAAUAAUAAUAAAACUAAAAUCCCCAAAUAUACUCUUUUCA